UCAGCCUUCCUCAUGACUAAGCUGGUGGUGCCUCAUAUGGUGAAGAGAGGAGGUGGGAGUGUCGUAUUUGUGUCUUCUGUGGCUGCGUACCAACCAAUGCAGGUCAGAACACGUAUCACAUUCAUAUUAAAGACAUACCACAAAAGAUCAUUUGUGUAUCAGUUACUCACCGUGCUACUAUGAAUUUGUGAAGAAAAGGUUAUUUAUUUAAUUUUUUCAUUUUUUAUUUCUCUAUUCAUUUAGCUGCUCUAUUUAUCUGUACCCCAUCCUUCCUAUGGCCUGUUCUUACCAUCUUUUCACGUUUUAAUCUAUCCACUUGUACAUCUGUAUCUUAUU